rnacentral:lncRNA from 10 species
CAUGACUCCAUCCAAGUCCUCACUCAGGCUCCCAGAUCACUGGGAAAUGACAAAACCGAGUAAUGCCUAAAGGUUUCUCCAAGGGCUGUGGCAGCCCUGAGGAGGGUCAGGCGAGGCUUCCUUGAGGUGCUGGGCCUUCCCAAGCCAAGUCCUCCAAGUUGUCCAGGAUCAAGCAGAUGAAGGAUAUGGCAGACACAGAGAUCUGGAGGCCAGCGAGAGCACGACCCAGGGGAAACAGUGAGAAGGAAGGAAACAACACAGGCCUGAAGAGGCAAGAAAGAAGUCAGACCAGGAAGGCAUGCAGAGAAAGGGGAUAAGGGAGGGCAUGGGGGAGCUUCUUCAGAAAUCCAGAGUGACUGUGGGGCUUGGUAUGUCCCAGCUGGGUGGCUCUGAACACAGCACAGCCUGAGUCUCUACCGCUUCCUUCCCAUCAGCCCCCCAACACCACCCACACAGCCACUCUCCUUAGCCCGUGACUGAAGGUGGACUCUCCGAGGCUGCUCAGGGGAGCCUGAGGCCUAGUCCCAGGUCACAGACCAUUUGCUCCCAUCUGUGGUGAGAGGAAGAGCUGCUCCAGGCCAGAAUGAAAAUUGGCCUCAUCACUCAAGAGUGCUGUGCAUUCCCGUGAGAGAAUUUCUGUGUGUUUGUUUUAUAUUGAGACAUUCUCAAUGAAGGAAGCAGGGAAGGAGUGCAUGGGUUUCUAUGCUUCUAUGUUGUCACCUGCGCCCUGUGCCCACAUGGCCCAGUGGUUUGGGUGGCAUUGCCAUAGAGGGCAAGUCACAUGUUUCUACACAACCUGACUGUUGGCCUGGCAGUGCCUCCAUCCCCUUAGGGAGGGCUGGUGGGCGAGCUCACUCCACCCCUGGCCCUUCGUUCCCGCUGGUCCUCCUGCCUGGAACACUCUGCGCUCCUCUCCUCUGCCCCACCUGCAGUUCCCAGUUACCCCAGUGCAGACUCCUGUGAGUUCCCAGGGCAGUACCACUGUAGGACUUGUUACAGUGAAUUAUAGUGGCCUUUUUCUAAAAUGUGUAGUAAUUUCACAAGCAAUCCACGAUAACCUUCUCACUGUAGACAGUUUAGACUGUAGAGGUAGGAUUUCCCUUAACCACCUUCCAGAACAGCCCCAUGAAGCAUCUAUCGG